UACGUAAGAGACAAGUGUAAGUCAUCUUAAUUAGGUUUAAAGUGUACAUAGACGGAAAAUUAACGUCUAAAAGGGUACUUUUUUUCUUAGAGUUUAUAUGAGAAAAAUGAAUCUUGAAGAAGAGAUUUAAUUCGCAAAUAACAAAGAGACAGAUAAUAGUUAAUACGACUUUCCUUGUAAAACUGACGUUGAGGUACGAAGGCUUGGGUAACGAGCAGG
rnacentral:rRNA from 1 species